rnacentral:rRNA from 1 species
AGUCGCGUGCGCAGUCUGUAGCAAUACAGGCCGGCGCACGGCGCACGGGUGCGUAACACGUGGGCAAUCUGCCCUCUGAUGGGGAAUAACCCCGCGAAAGCGGGGCUAAUUCCGCAUAAAAUUCCGAGGACCUUGGUUCUUGGAUUCAAAGCAGUAAUGCGUCAGAGGAGGAGCCCGCGCCCGAUUAGCUAGUUGGCGAGGUAACGGCUCACCAAGGCAAUGAUCGGUAGCUGGUCUGAGAGGAUGAUCAGCCACACUGGAACUGAGACACGGUCCAGACUCCUACGGGAGGCAGCAGUGGGGAAUCUUGCACAAUGGGCGAAAGCCUGAUGCAGCGACGCCGCGUGGGGGAUGAAGCUUUUCGGAGUGUAAACCCCUUUCGACUGGGACGAAAACCCGCAAGGGAUUGACGGUACCAGUAUGAGAAGCCCCGGCUAACUACGUGCCAGCAGCCGCGGUAAGACGUAGGGGGCCAGCGUUGUUCGGAAUUACUGGGUGUAAAGGGUUCGUAGGCGGUGCGGCAAGUUGGGAGUGGAAUCUCUGGGCUUAACCCAGAGGCUGCUUCCAAAACUGCUGUGCUUGAGUGUGAGAGGCUCGUGGAAUUGCAGGUGUAGCGGUGAAAUGCGUAGAUAUCUGCAGGAACACCCGUGGCGAAAGCGGCGAGCUGGAUCACUACUGACGCUGAGGAACGAAAGCUAGGGGAGCAAACAGGAUUAGAUACCCUG